rnacentral:rRNA from 1 species
UGUCUGGGAAACUGCCUGAUGGAGGGGGAUAACUACUGGAAACGGUGGCUAAUACCGCAUAACGUCGCAAGACCAAAGAGGGGGACCUUCGGGCCUCUUGCCAUCAGAUGUGCCCAGAUGGGAUUAGCUUGUUGGUGAGGUAACGGCUCACCAAGGCGACGAUCCCUAGCUGGUCUGAGAGGAUGACCAGCCACACUGGAACUGAGACACGGUCCAGACUCCUACGGGAGGCAGCAGUGGGGAAUAUUGCACAAUGGGCGCAAGCCUGAUGCAGCCAUGCCGCGUGUAUGAAGAAGGCCUUCGGGUUGUAAAGUACUUUCAGCGGGGAGGAAGGUGUUGUGGUUAAUAACCGCAGCAAUUGACGUUACCCGCAGAAGAAGCACCGGCUAACUCCGUGCCAGCAGCCGCGGUAAUACGGAGGGUGCAAGCGUUAAUCGGAAUUACUGGGCGUAAAGCGCACGCAGGCGGUCUGUCAAGUCGGAUGUGAAAUCCCCGGGCUCAACCUGGGAACUGCAUUCGAAACUGGCAGGCUUGAGUCUUGUAGAGGGGGGUAGAAUUCCAGGUGUAGCGGUGAAAUGCGUAGAGAUCUGGAGGAAUACCGGUGGCGAAGGCGGCCCCCUGGACAAAGACUGACGCUCAGGUGCGAAAGCGUGGGGAGCAAACAGGAUUAGAUACCCUGGUAGUCCACGCCGUAAACGAUGUCUACUUGGAGGUUGUGCCCUUGAGGCGUGGCUUCCGGAGCUAACGCGUUAAGUAGACCGCCUGGGGAGUACGGCCGCAAGGUUAAAACUCAAAUGAAUUGACGGGGGCCCGCACAAGCGGUGGAGCAUGUGGUUUAAUUCGAUGCAACGCGAAGAACCUUACCUGGUCUUGACAUCCACAGAACUUUCCAGAGAUGGAUUGGUGCCUUCGGGAACUGUGAGACAGGUGCUGCAUGGCUGUCGUCAGCUCGUGUUGUGAAAUGUUGGGUUAAGUCCCGCAACGAGCGCAACCCUUAUCCUUUGUUGCCAGCGGUCCGGCCGGGAACUCAAAGGAGACUGCCAGUGAUAAACUGGAGGAAGGUGGGGAUGACGUCAAGUCAUCAUGGCCCUUACGACCAGGGCUACACACGUGCUACAAUGGCGCAUACAAAGAGAAGCGACCUCGCGAGAGCAAGCGGACCUCAUAAAGUGCGUCGUAGUCCGGAUUGGAGUCUGCAACUCGACUCCAUGAAGUCGGAAUCGCUAGUAAUCGUGGAUCAGAAUGCCACGGUGAAUACGUUCCCGGGCCUUGUACACACCGCCCGUCACACCAUGGGAGUGGGUUGCAAAAGAAGUAGGUAGCUUAACCUUCGGGAGGGCGCUUACCACUUUGUGAUUCAUGACUGGGGUGAAGUCGUAACAAGGUAACCGUAGGGGAACCUGCGGUUGGA